rnacentral:rRNA from 1 species
UACGUAGGGUGCGAGCGUUGUCCGGAAUUACUGGGCGUAAAGAGCUCGUAGGUGGUUUGUCGCGUUGUUCGUGAAAACUCACAGCUUAACUGUGGGCGUGCGGGCGAUACGGGCAGACUGGAGUACUGCAGGGGAGACUGGAAUUCCUGGUGUAGCGGUGGAAUGCGCGGAUAUCAGGAGGAACACCGGUGGCGAAGGCGGGUCUCUGGGCAGUAACUGACGCUGAGGAGCGAAAGCGUGGGGAGCGAACAGG